rnacentral:rRNA from 1 species
ACGCUGGCGGCGUGCUUAACACAUGCAAGUCGAACGAUGAAGCCUAGCUUGCUAGGUGGAUUAGUGGCGAACGGGUGAGUAAUACGUGAGUAACCUACCUUUAACUCUGGGAUAAGCCUGGGAAACUGGGUCUAAUACCGGAUACGACCAAUCUCCGCAUGGGGUGUUGGUGGAAAGCGUUAUGUAGUGGUUAUAGAUGGGCUCACGGCCUAUCAGCUUGUUGGUGAGGUAACGGCUCACCAAGGCGACGACGGGUAGCCGGCCUGAGAGGGUGACCGGCCACACUGGGACUGAGACACGGCCCAGACUCCUACGGGAGGCAGCAGUGGGGAAUAUUGCACAAUGGGCGCAAGCCUGAUGCAGCGACGCCGCGUGAGGGAUGACGGCCUUCGGGUUGUAAACCUCUGUUAGCAGGGAAGAAGAGAGAUGA